GAGUUUGUGAAUGAGUGGGGGAGUUAGUGUGUGAAUGAGUGGGUGAGUUAGUGUGUGAAUGGGUGUGUGAAUGAGUGGGCUAGUGUGUGAAUGAGUGGGUGUGUGAACGAGUGGGUGAGUUAGUGUGUGAAUGAAUGGGUGAGUUUGUGAAUGAGUGGGUGUGUGAACGAGUGGGUGAGUUAGUGUGUGAAUGAAUGGGUUAGUGUGUGAGUGGGUGGGUUAGUGUGUGAAUGGGUGGGUUAGUGUGUGAAUGGAUGAGUUAGUGUGUGAAUGAGUGGGUUAGUGUGUGAAUGAGUCGGUGGGUUAGUGUGUGAAUGAGUGGGUUAGUGUGUGAGAGUG
rnacentral:lncRNA from 1 species